rnacentral:rRNA from 1 species
UACGAAGGGGGCUAGCGUUGCUCGGAAUCACUGGGCGUAAAGCGCAUGUAGGCGGAUCUUUAAGUCAGGGGUGAAAUCCCAAGGCUCAACCUUGGAACUGCCUUUGAUACUGGGGAUCUCGAGUCCGGAAGAGGUUGGUGGAACUCCGAGUGUAGAGGUGAAAUUCGUAGAUAUUCGGAAGAACACCAGUGGCGAAGGCGGCCAACUGGUCCGGCACUGACGCUGAGGUGCGAAAGCGUGGGGAGCAAACAGG